UUCAGUUCUUAUGUUGUUGUUUUUCUUGUCUGUUGUACCAUAGUUUUGUUGAAGUUGCUGUUAUUUGUUUGCCUGCCUUCUUGUCUGUCCGUUUGUUUAUUUGUUGGUGUAUUUAAAUUUUUUGUAUCCAAAAAAAAUGUUCAGUAUUUGCUCUGCCUUUGUUAUUUUCUACUCUUAAUAUUUAUAAGGAAAAAUUCAUAUAUUUUGAAUAACAUGUUACAAAACACAUGACGAAUCCAUUACUUAUCCCUUUUCUGUAAGCAUCGUGAAUAAACAAGGAAUGCUAAGAAAAUAAAAGGACAUAAAUGCAUUUAAUAAAGAAGAAAUAUUAAAAGAAGAGUAAGAGCCUACUAAGAAGGAGGUAAUGAAGCGAAUACAACAUUUUACUAAGUUGAAAAUCUUAAUGUCUACUUUAAUCAAUGGCACACAACAAAAUAACCAUUUACUUUUUGGCAACUCUUCUUAUUUUAUACCGCCA